AGUCUACUUGCCUCCCACGAUCUUGGUUGUCUGGGAGAAGGUCUGCACGUGGGUGGUGGAGCUCGAGAACUCCAUGGACACGUGCUCCUGCAGCAGCUGCUUGUGGUGAAUGGUCGUCAUGGUGACAGCAGGCGUGGGCACUCACCUGGAGGACCAGGGAGAGAAUGAGGUCAUGAAGGACAAGGAAGGGAAUAGGAGAGAGAUCCAGAGCUCUUCUUCCCAGCUCAUCUCUUCACUCAGGCAAAAGACCCGAGGGGCCUAACAUCCUGUGAUGGAAACCAAAACUACCCCUCCAGCAGUAAGGACUGCCUGGACAGGAGCUUGGGCGGCCCAGACCACCCAGACCAGUUUGAGCUCAACUCCCGACUCACACCUGUGCAGAUGGACCGUGGAGCAACCAGUUACCUGCACCUCAUUAUGAUACUGAAAUCUCCACCCAAGGAGCAGCACAAGCCUCCUUUACAUAACAUACAACGUACAUAUGAGCAGGUUUCCUUAGGGCGCACGCGCAACCUUAUGCCCACCUCUACCAGCCAUGACAAGGCUCCCCUAUCUAAAUAUGCAUCCUGACCGUAAAUAAAAGAAACCCACUCGCCCUUGCUCGGGGAGUCACAGCUUUGGAAA